rnacentral:rRNA from 1 species
GGUUGAACGCUGGCGGAAUGCUUUACACAUGCAAGUCGAGCGGCAGCGCGGGGGCAACCCUGGCGGCGAGCGGCGAACGGGUGAGUAAUGCAUCGGAACAUGUCCGGUUGUGGGGGAUAACCUGGCGAAAGCCAGGCUAAUACCGCAUGAGCUCGAGAGAGGAAAGCGGGGGACCGUAAGGCCUCGCGCGACCGGGUUGGCCGAUGUCCGAUUAGCUAGUUGGUGGGGUAAAGGCUUACCAAGGCGAUGAUCGGUAGCUGGUCUGAGAGGAUGAUCAGCCACACUGGGACUGAGACACGGCCCAGACUCCUACGGGAGGCA